CCCUUAGACGUUCUGGGCCGCACGCGCGCUACACUGACGAAGGCGACGAGCUUUCCUUUACCGAAAGGUACGGGUAAUCUUUUGAAACUUCGUCGUGCUGGGGAUAGAUCCUUGCAAUUUUUGAUCUUAAACGAGGAAUGCCUAGUAAGCGCAAGUCAUCAACUUGCGUUGAUUACGUCCCUGCCCUUUGUACACACCGCCCGUCGCUACUACCGAUUGAAUGGUUUAGUGAGGCCUUCGGAUCCGCGACUCGUUUUGUGGAGAAGUUGGACAAACUCAGUCAUUUAGAGGAAGUAAAAGUCGUAACA
rnacentral:rRNA from 1 species